UGUUCUGUGGCAUAGUUGGUUAAAGCACCGGAUUAGCAAUACAGAGUCGUGGGUUCGAAUCGCACCAAAACAA
rfam:Aedes albopictus isolate Foshan contig62207, whole genome shotgun sequence.